GAUUUGGUCUAGGGGUCGGUGGAAGGCUGGUUAAGGUGUUUGGUUUUCAACCACUACGACCCGGGUUCGAUUCCCGCAUUGGACA
rnacentral:tRNA from 1 species